CCGGGGGGCGGGGAGGGAGGAGCUGAACGCCGGGGUUGCUUCCGAGGAGUGUUUUGUACAUCUUUAGGCGGAGGAGGAGGAGAAGCGAGAGGAGGAGAGACGGGAGGCCGCCUCGAGGGAAGGGCGGCCCGGGUGGGCUGGGGCUGAGCCGUAGGGAGUUUCGUGGGUCUGGGGCGUGUAGGGUGUUGUGUCUAUGCGCACGAGCAUCCAAAGGGACCGCGCAUACGCGCAAACCCGGAAUCCUGGUGCCCUUAAGCGUGACUGUACUGUGUGUGUCGCGAGUACCUGAGUGUUUCUGGGGCGGCAGGUGUUUCCACGGCCGCGUGGAUCCAUCGAGUGUGGGUUUUGUCUCGGGAGUUGCCCGUGUGGGUCCGUUUGUGUCUGCGCGUCUCUCUGUGAGUGUUUGACACUGUUUGUUUCUCUCGGUGUGUAGGCGAGAGCCCACGUAACCUCCCAGAAUGAAGCAAGAGCUUCUCUACGUAGGCAGGAUGUAGGAGGGAGAAGCUGAGGGGACACGAAGUUCUCUGGAGACCACCAGAGGCGGGGAAGGGGCGAGGGUACAGGGACUAAGACAUGAAAAUAAAAAGCAAAAUACUCUGCAAUCAGCCUGAAUGCAGGCUGGGGCUGCUAACAUAGGGCCUCUUCCUGAAGCAGAAAAUAAAGCCCUCGUAUGAUAAUUCCCACACAGCGCACAUUUGGAUGAUAAGAGAGAGAUGUGACCACCAGGGAGGCCUAGAACAAUCUAGGAGCCAGUGAACUAAUUGGAGGAAGAGGAGUCUUGAAACAAAAUGGAAGAGAAAUGUUUGAGUGAUGAACUGGGAACUCGGGAAAAAUUAUUUAAUCGACAAAGAGAAAGGGAGAAAGAGAGGAGAAGACAUCGAGCUAGCCAGAAUGAUCCUGGGUCUCAGAAGGUCAGGACUGAGGGGAGAGGAAAGGGAGAGGAGGAGCAGCCAGUGCAGAGCUUCUCAGCCUUCACUGGAAUCCCAAUGAGGAGGAGUCAGCACCACGGACAGCUCUCCAGCCACAAACCCAGUCAGCGAUUUCUAUUUUCGCCUGGUGGAAAUUUCUCCCUUUUUUCUUGGGCAACUUUCUCUUUCCCUUGGCUUCUGGUCCAGGUUCAGGUCUUGAACACAGGUUCCCCAGGUCAGUUCUGACUUUGAUUCUGACCACGAAGAAAUACGCCCACCACACACACUCCUUCUCCCACCCACCGCGGUAUGAAACCCCAGGUCACUAUCUCUUGCCUCUCCUCCUUUCUUUCUUUUCUCUCUCUCUCUUUCUGUCUGUGCCCCAUUCCUUCCUUUAUUCGUCCCUAUCUUUCUCUUUGUUUCCCCAUCAUCCCCCAGCUGAGAUCUACUUCCAUGACUGUUAGUAGGCAACAGCUGCCCUGCUGAUAAUGCAGUUCUGAAAUCAAUCUGAGACAACGUAGUCAGGCAACUUCAGGUGAAGACCAAAGUUCUGACUGAUUCUUCUUAACCCUUUCCUUGUAAUCAAUCUCCCAAGAUGGGUUGUGGUCUACAUACCUUAGAAAGUGGGGACUUAAUGCUUUGGAAUACUGUCCAGUCUUUCUCUUCCUCACCCCACCCAGUCAAUAUUUCCCUAAAGAAAAAAAGAGCUCUUCUAGUUCCAACCAAUACUACACAGAGAGAAAGAGGAGAGAGAAUUUUG
rnacentral:lncRNA from 10 species